rnacentral:rRNA from 1 species
GAAGGUGGACUGUGAGGUCUGCUGGAGGUAUCAGAAGUGCGAAUGCUGACAUAAGUAACGAUAAAGCGGGUGAAAAGCCCGCUCGCCGGAAGACCAAGGGUUCCUGUCCAACGUUAAUCGGGGCAGGGUGAGUCGACCCCUAAGGCGAGGCCGAAAGGCGUAGUCGAUGGGAAACAGGUUAAUAUUCCUGUACUCGGUGUUACUGCGAAGGGGGGACGGAGAAGGCUAUGUUGGCCGGGCGACGGUUGUCCCGGUUUAAGCGUGUAGGUGUGUGCUCCAGGCAAAUCCGGUGCACUUUAACACUGAGGCGUGAUGACGAGGCACUACGGUGCUGAAGCAACAAAUGCCCUGCUUCCAGGAAAAGCCUCUAAGCAUCAGGUAACAUCAAAUCGUACCCCAAACCGACACAGGUGGUCAGGUAGAGAAUACCAAGGCGCUUGAGAGAACUCGGGUGAAGGAACUAGGCAAAAUGGUGCCGUAACUUCGGGAGAAGGCACGCUGGUGCGUAGGUGAAGCGACUUGCUCGCGGAGCUGAAACCAGUCGAAGAUACCAGCUGGCUGCAACUGUUUAUUAAAAACACAGCACUGUGCAAACACGAAAGUGGACGUAUACGGUGUGACGCCUGCCCGGUGCCGGAAGGUUAAUUGAUGGGGUUAUCCGUAAGGAGAAGCUCUUGAUCGAAGCCCCGGUAAACGGCGGCCGUAACUAUAACGGUCCUAAGGUAGCGAAAUUCCUUGUCGGGUAAGUUCCGACCUGCACGAAUGGCGUAAUGAUGGCCAGGCUGUCUCCACCCGAGACUCAGUGAAAUUGAAAUCGCUGUGAAGAUGCAGUGUACCCGCGGCAAGACGGAAAGACCCCGUGAACCUUUACUAUAGCUUGACACUGAACAUUGAGCCUUGAUGUGUAGGAUAGGUGGGAGGCUUUGAAGCGUGGACGCCAGUCUGCGUGGAGCCAACCUUGAAAUACCACCCUUUAAUGUUUGAUGUUCUAACCUGGCGCCAUAAUCUGGCGUGGGGACAGUGUCUGGUGGGUAGUUUGACUGGGGCGGUCUCCUCCUAAAGCGUAACGGAGGAGCACGAAGGUUAGCUAAUCCUGGUCGGACAUCAGGAGGUUAGUGCAAAGGCAUAAGCUAGCUUGACUGCGAGAGUGACGGCUCGAGCAGGUGCGAAAGCAGGUCUUAGUGAUCCGGUGGUUCUGAAUGGAAGGGCCAUCGCUCAACGGAUAAAAGGUACUCCGGGGAUAACAGGCUGAUACCGCCCAAGAGUUCAUAUCGACGGCGGUGUUUGGCACCUCGAUGUCGGCUCAUCACAUCCUGGGGCUGAAGUAGGUCCCAAGGGUAUGGCUGUUCGCCAUUUAAAGUGGUACGCGAGCUGGGUUUAGAACGUCGUGAGACAGUUCGGUCCCUAUCUGCCGUGGGCGCUGGAGAAUUGAGGGGGGUUGCUCCUAGUACGAGAGGACCGGAGUGAACGCAUCACUGGUGUUCGGGUUGUCAUGCCAAUGGCACUGCCCGGUAGCUAAAUGCGGAAGAGAUAAGUGCUGAAAGCAUCUAAGCACGAAACUUGCCCCGAGAUGAGUUCUCCCUGACCCUUUAAGGGUCCUGAAGGAACGUUGAAGACGACGACGUUGAUAGGCCGGGUGUGUAAGCGCAGCGAUGCGUUGAGCUAACCGGUACUAAUGAACCGUGAGGCUUAACCUU